UCAUACUGCUGGGGGUGUCCGUGUCGACCCGCCAUCAGCGGAUGGUCGGUGGCGGAACAUUCCACGUUCAGCCGACCCUUUCGCGAGAAGGCGCACCGAUACAGGGCUGAGAGAAGACCCUUCGAACCUGAUCCGGGUCAUGCUGGCGCAGGAAAGCAGACGGACGCGCAU
rnacentral:ncRNA from 2 species